GUGAUGUUCUGGUCCUUGUGUGUGGAGGAAGAACUUUAAGUUUGAGUAGCACUAGUAUAUAUUUCAAAUAGAAUAUUAGCAACUUGUACCCCGUUACCCAGAUUAGCUUGCUUGUGUGUGUGUGUGUGUGUGUGUGUGUGUGUGUGUGUGUGUGUGUGUGUGUGUGUGUGUUGGGG